GCGGGGCGCGGUGGCGCGUGCCUGUAGUCCCAGCUACUCGGGAGGCUGAGGUAGGGGGAUCGCUUGAGCCCAGGAGUUCUGGGCUGUAGUGCGCUGCGCCGAUCGGUGUCCGCACUAAGUUCGGCAUCAAUAUGGUGACCUCCCGGGAGUGGGGGACCACCAGGCUGCCUAAGGAGGAUUGAACCGGCCCAGCUUGGAAAUGGAGCAGGUCAAAACUCCAGUGCUGAUCAGUAGUGGGAUCGCGCCUGUGAAUAGCCACUGCGCUCCAGCCUAGGCAACAACAAUAGCGAGACCCAUGUCUCA
rnacentral:SRP_RNA from 1 species